rnacentral:rRNA from 1 species
CUCAUGGUUUCACGGUAUUGCAAUGAGAACAAUUUAAAACCCUUAGCGAGAAUCAAGUGGAGGACAAGUCUGGUGCCAGCACCCGCGGUAAUUCCAGCUCCACUAGCGUAUAUUAAAGUUGUUGCAGUUAAAAAGCUCGUAGUUGAACCUCUGUCUGGGGCUAGUUUUGGCUUUGGUCAGGCUAGUUCUAGGCAUCCGCCUACAAGACUUAGAGGGCAUUCAGUUGUUCACUAGGAGGAGUAGGCAUUUUACUUUGAAAAAAUUAGAGUGUUUAAGGCAGGCAAUCGCCCGCAUAUAUUAGCAUGGAAUAAUAGAAUAGGACACUUUUCCAUUUCGUUGGUUAUUGGAAUCGUGUAAUGAUUAAUAGGGACAGUUGUGGGCAUUUGUAUUUAAUUGUCAGAGGUGAAAUUCUUGGAUUUAUUAAAGACAAACUAACGCGAAAGCAUUUGCCAAGGAUGUUUUCAUUAAUCAAGAACGAAAGUUAGGGGAUCAAAGACGAUCAGAUACCGUCCUAGUCUUAACUAUAAACUAUUCCGACUCAAUGUUUGACUGGCUUAUAUAACCAGUUGAGCGUUGCAUGAGAAAUCAAAGUCUUUAGGUUCUGGGGGGAGUAUGGUUGCAAAGCUGAAACUUAAAGGAAUUGACGGAAGAGCACAACCAGGAGUGGAUUCUGCGGCUUAAUUUGACUCAACACGGGGAAACUUACCAGGUUAAAACAAUAGUGGGAUUGACAGUUUGAGAGCGCUUUCUUGAUUGGUUGGGUGGUGGUGCAUGGCCGUUCCUAGUUGGUGGAGUGAUUUGUCUGCUUAAUUGCGUUAACGAACGAGACCUUAACCUGCUUACUAGACUGGCGAUCAUCAAUCGUUAGCUCUUCUUAGAGGGACUUUGGUUGUUUUAACUCCAAGGAAGUUUGAGGCAAUAACAGGUCUGUGAUGCCCUUAGAUAUCCUGGGCCGCACGCGUCAUACAAUGACUAGUUCAGAAAGUUUUCUCCUGACCCGAAAGGGGAUGGGUAAUCUUGAUAAUACUAGUCGUGUUAGGGAUCGAUCUUUGCAAUUAUAGAUCUUGAACGAGGAAUUCCUAGUAAGUGCGGUUCAUCAGACCGUACUGAUUACGUCCCUGCUCUUUGUACACACCGCCCGUCGCUUCUACCGAGUGGGUGGUCCGGUGAGAUAAUUGAACUUCGCAGGUAACUGAGAGGAAAGAUUAUCAAACCUAUCCACCU